UUUUCCUACGGGGGGCAGCAGUGGGGAAUAUUGGGCAAUGGGCGCAAGCCUGACCCAGCAACGCCGCGUGAAGGAAGAAGGCUUUCGGGUUGUAAACUUCUUUUCUUGGGGACGAAGAAAGUGACGGUACCCAAGGAAUAAGCCACGGCUAACUACGUGCCAGCAGCCGCGGUAAUACGUAGGAUGCGAGCGUUAUCCGGAUUUAUUGGGUUUAAAGGGUGCGCAGGCGGCGAGUUAAGUCAGCGGUAAAAUUUCGGGGCUCAACCCCGACGAGCCGCUGAAACUGGCUUGCUAGAGGGGGCUAG
rnacentral:rRNA from 1 species